UCCCUGGUGGUCCAGUGGCUAAGACUCUACACUCCUAGUGUAGAAGGCCCAGGUUCGAUCCCUGGUCAGGGAA